UGAACGCUAGCGACAGGCUAACACAUGCAAGUCGAGGGGUAACAGGGUAGCAAUACCGCUGACGACCGGCGCACGGGUGAGUAACGCGUAUGCAACCUGCCUAUAACUGGGGAAUAGCUCCCUGAAAGGGGAAUUAACACCGCAUAACACUAUUGAUUCGCAUGGAUUAGUAGUUAAAUGUAGCGAUACAGGUUAUAGAUGGGCAUGCGUGACAUUAGCUAGUUGGUGAGGUAACGGCUCACCAAGGCUACGAUGUCUAGGGGUUCUGAGAGGAAGGUCCCCCACACUGGUACUGAGACACGGACCAGACUCCUACGGGAGGCAGCAGUGAGGAAUAUUGGUCAAUGGGCGCAAGCCUGAACCAGCCAUGUCGCGUGCAGGAAGACUGCCCUAUGGGUUGUAAACUGCUUUUAUAGUAGAAGAAACACAUCUACGCGUAGAUGUCUGCCAGUAUACUAUGAAUAAGCAUCGGCUAACUCCGUGCCAGCAGCCGC
rnacentral:rRNA from 1 species